UUUUGAGUACCUUCGUUUCCUCGGCGGGUUCGCCCGCCGAUUGGACAAUUUAAACCAUUUGCAGUUGCAAUCAGCGUCUGAAAAAACAUAAUAGUUACAACUUUCAACAACGGAUCUCUUGGUUCUGGCAUCGAUGAAGAACGCAGCGAAAUGCGAUAAGUAGUGUGAAUUGCAGAAUUCAGUGAAUCAUCGAAUCUUUGAACGCACAUUGCGCCCCUUGGUAUUCCAUGGGGCAUGCCUGUUCGAGCGUCAUUUGUACCUUCAAGCUCUGCUUGGUGUUGGGUGUUUGUCUCGCCUCUGCGCGUAGACUCGCCUCAAAACAAUUGGCAGCCGGCGUAUUGAUUUCGGAGCGCAGUACAUCUCGCGCUUUGCAUUCAGAACGACGACAUCCAAAAGUACAUUUUUACA
rnacentral:rRNA from 1 species